GCAGCAGGGGAGGAUAGGGCGGAGCCGCCGGUGACCCCGGCGGUGGCUGUGGCAGCGCAGAGGGGGUCGGCGAGGAUGGCCUCUGGGGCGAGGAGGCGGAGCCGAUGACCCCGGCGGUGGCUGUGGCAGCGCAGAGGGGGUCGGCGAUGAUGGCCGAUGGGGCGAGGAGGCGGAGCCGAUGACCCCGGCGGCGGCGGCGGAGGGGUCCCAGGGGCUCGAGGACCAACGUCUGAUGCAGCCGUGGUUCCUCGCCGUCAAGAGCUAGAUCGAGCGCACGGCGGUGUAGCCGUCGAGAGGAAGAGGAAGAGCACCCUGCGCCGGUUCAGCCGUGGCGUCACGAAAAAGGCGGAGAGAAAGGGCACCGGUGGCCCCAUGAAGGUCGAGGAGGUCGCCGCCUCGUCGUGCAGCGCGCGAUGGUGGACCGAUGGGCGUCCAAGAGGCACUUGACCUUGCCGGAUCACGCUGCCGCUGGCGUAGUCCAGGCCGGAUCUGUGGAGAGCCCGGCGCAGCACCGUCUACAGAUUGAUAAGGGCCGGAGCUUCAAUGACGAAUCUACUAUUCAGCACACAGCCCAACUCGACAAGCACUAGCCAUGUCAACAGGCACUCAGGGGCAUGCUCGCCUCGGCAGUCAUCAAGGUGGCAAUAGAACACUUGAAUUCUACCAUUUUAGGCGAGAUCAAGCUGCACAGGAAUAUGAGGAACGAUAUGGAGAACAUGAAGAUGACGCUGGAGUCGGUGGACGCUGUGCUCCGCGACGCUGAGAGGGAGUCUAUCAAGCAUAGGUCCAUGCUUCUGUGGCUGAAGCAACUUAAGGAUGCCGCGAACGACAUCUCUCACAUGCUUGAAGAUUUUGAAGAUGAAACCGACCUCAACCUGAUGUUUCAAUUGCCAAAAGAUGGUUGUUGUUCUGCGACUAGACUGGCCAUCGAGCUUUAAAUUUUAGGUGUAAUCUCAAGAUAUUGCAAUUGAACUCUUCUUAAGGUAAUUCUCUGUUUUAUCUGAACUCACUAAGAUUAUUUGCUUUUUCUUUGGUCUUUUGCGCAUUUAAAUUGCCAGAGAAAAUUUUGCCAAUCUCUUUAAUUUUCACACAGAGCUAAGGUGUUCCCCAUUUAUAAUUUAGAGACAAGCAUCUUGUCAAAGCUUAGGCUUACAAUGGAGACACCAUCAAUGGCAAUUCCAAAGUUCUGUGCCUGAUCUGUCAGUAUCUUUCUAAUCUCCCACCUCAUGCGCUGAAAUUAAAGGGGAAAAGGAGCAAACAAUGAGCACCCACAAGUAUUUGACAAUGUUGGCUCUUGGGCUGCCCAAUUGAUCACUGAAGCUGGUGGCAAGGUGGUCUCCAUCAGAGAUGUCACAGGGGCUGUGAAGAACUCUAAUGGCAUUGACAUAGCCAAGCUGAUGAAGCACUCGGCAGAGAACCGUGGGAUCAAGGGCUCCGACAAAAGGCGACGCCGUCGACCGACCUCGCUGCUCACGGAAGUGCGACGUGCUCAUCCCGGCAACUCUGGGAGGAGUCAUAAACAAGGACAAUGUUGAUGCCAUCAAAGCAAAGUACAUCAUCGAGGCUGCUAACCAGCCAACAGACUCCGAGGCCGAAGAGGCAAGAACACCAACAUUUUGGCACAAAACUAAGCUGCAUUUGCUGACACAUUUCACACAUUGACUGGCAGUAGAGAAGUGUACAUGUCCGCGCUGCAGAUUCUGGCAAAGAAGGGCGUGCUGAUCCUACCGGACAUCGUGGCCAACUCCGGCGGAGUGAUGGUGAGCUACUUCGAGUGGGUGCAGAACAUCCAGGGGUCCAUACUUGUAGACCUGAAUGACUAAGAUCGAUACUUGUCAUCUUGAACAACUAAGAUUGAAGUAGUGAGCCCGAACGAGUAGGACCGACAGUAGUAAACCCGAAUGACUAAGACCAAUACUUGUGGGCCCGAUGUCUAAGACCAAUACUUGUGAUUUUGGACAAUUAAUAUCAAAAGUAGUGUGCCUGAACGAAUAA